rnacentral:lncRNA from 1 species
GGCAUCAAGGAUCUGGAGGUCUCCAUAGGGUUUUGUCCCACUUGUGGGUGGGUGCCUCUUUUCUGUGUUGGAUUUGAUCGCUACAUGGUGUGGACCACCAUAGUUAACACCCACACUUGAGUGACCAAAGCAUCGAACUGGUCUUGAUUCUUCACAAGGGCUGGCAAAGAGGGUUGUGGGGAUGCCUUCGGUAGCUAGUACGGAGCAUGAUUUUCGACUAGAGCUUCUGUUGAUUGGCGUGCCUUGGCAUGAGGAUGUCUUGAGGAUGCUCUUUGUGGUGGCAUAGUAAUGGAUUGCACGCUCUUUUCCAAAAGUGGAUAAAGGAUCCUUCCUCUAGUGUCAAUCUGUUGUGAUAGAAAUUCAUCUCGGAUCAGAGCUGCUAGAGUGAGGUGACUUCCAAUGGUGACAACGGUGACUGGACCUGCAAAAUAAAUCUUGGACCAGAGAUAGCUCCAGUGGGGACCCUCCAAUGCUCAAGUUAGAUUUCUGCAAUAGAUGAAAAAAGAGAGUGCUUGUGAGGGAGAGAGAUUGCGUACCUUCUCUUUUUAGGUCUUUUGGAUUAUCUCUUUUUAUAGGUGAGGUUGGAACCAUAGGAGAAUGAGAGGCUAUCACAAAUCUUUUUGCCCCCCUAUUGAAUAUCCUCAAAAAUCAUGUUGGGCCUCCUGAUUUUCUUGAGUUUGAUAGAUAAUGUCAACUCAUAGCAUGUGAGGGCCACCUCCAUUAAUGGCAUGGGUUGACAAUCAGAGGCCUUGAGAAUGGUGUGGCUUUACUUUACUCAGGGCAAUCUGUAUUUUUUAAUAGAAUGAUGUGAUUAGACCACAGAGAGGCCUCUUGAGAUUAUCAUGACAAGCUGCUAUCUUUAAUAACUCGACUUGACAAUCGUACAAAAGCUUCGGAUGGAUGCCAUCAGAUGCAGUAGCCGAACAAAGAUCGAGAGAAAUGGGCCUUAGGGGUUGGUUAUAUAUCGUCGGGCAAUGAAGUUGGCACAAAUGCCUGAGUUAGGACUGAUCGUCGAGACUGACAGC